CAGUCCAUGUAGAGAAUAUUGAGCUGAGUGUCCUGACUCAAUAAGGCUCUAGGCAGUUUCUUACAUUACUGUAAGAUGAGGGGGAGAUGUCUUGUGGUAUUACCAGCAGCACCUUUUUUCUUCUCUUCUCUUUUUCUUCUGUCAAUGGCGUUUGGCUUCAGAGAGUUUUUUUUCUUUCUGGGUUGCAUCAAAGCACGUCCUGCCUCAUCGCACCUUAGAGCAUCCUCAGAGCGCAGUGACAUGAUCUGUGCCAGCCCACCUGGAAACACAACCGUUACAAAGCAGCAGCAUCACCGAUUCUCUUUCUACUUCUGCCAUCAAUGAACUGGAGAAAACAAGAGGCAGGAGCAGGCCAAACAGUGGGGAUGCAGGCAGGCUGCAGUUUCUACAACCAGUCUUGUAUUGAUUCUGCAAACCCCUUAUUAACACCUGGCUGCGCUUUUGCAGUUUGCUGUUUGCCUGUGAGAUUAACCCGGACAAUUGCUUAACAACCUGAAGAAAGAAGGGAACGAGAGACGUCAAAGAUGUUCAUAAAUCACCGAAAAGGAGAAGAAGCCGCAGACCAUCAAAUGUGCAACAGAGCAAAGCAUUUUACGGCAUUAGCAGGAAUGCCUCAAAGGACAAAAUCAUGACCAGACCCUGGCAGAAGAAUGCACAUAUGGUUAAAGGCCAAGAAUGCUGGGAAUUAUAGUUUGGCGACAUGCAAAAAAUUAUCUCUGUAAAUUGCUUGAGCCCCCUCCCCUUAAAUAAUCACACAGCUACAGUUCCCAGGGGAGAGGAAAUUACAUUUAAACCAGUAAGGCCAUAGUGUGGGUUUGCCUCCCGCAAUAAAAAAAAGUUCAAUUUUAGCAGGAAACGAGGUUAGCAACUGCCUUGUAAGACAGUAAAAGGCUUUUUGAUUUCACCUCUCCAGUCAUUUUCAGUUUUAUUUAGAAGCAAUAUAUUAAAGGAGGUGAAAGUAUCUGAUUAUUGCUCCAUCUACUUUGCGCCAGUCCCAGUGUUG